rnacentral:rRNA from 1 species
GGACGAACGCUGGCGGCGUGCUUAACACGAUAGCAAGUCGAACGGGCAUAAUUGAAAGCUUGCUUUGAUAUGUAGUGGCGGACGGGUGAGUAACGCGUGAGCAACUUGCCUUGGACAGUCGGAAUAACACAGGGAAACUUGUGCUAAUACCACAUGAAGUGCGGAGAGGGCAUCCUUUCUGUACCAAAGGAAGCAAUUCCGGUCUGAGAUGGGCUCGCGUCCGAUUAGAUAGUUGGUGAGGUAACGGCCCACCAAGUCAACGAUCGGUAGCCGGACUGAGAGGUUGGCCGGCCACAUUGGGACUGAGACACGGCCCAGACUCCUACGGGAGGCAGCAGUGGGGAAUAUUAGGCAAUGGGGGGAACCCUGAACCCUAGCAACGCCGCGUGAAGGAUGAAGGUUUUCGGAUUGUAAACUUCUUUGGCAGGGGACGAUAAUGACGGUACCCUGAGAACAAGCCACGGCUAACUACGUGCCAGCAGCAGC